AAAUUGAAGAGUUUGAUCAUGGCUCAGAUUGAACGCUGGCGGCAGGCCUAACACAUGCAAGUCGAACGGUAACAGGAAGCAGCUUGCUGUUUCGCUGACGAGUGGCGGACGGGUGAGUAAUGUCUGGGAAACUGCCUGAUGGAGGGGGGUAACUACUGGAAACGGUAGCUAA
rnacentral:rRNA from 1 species